UAUUGGCGUUAUGAUAGGUCAGAUCACCUGUCAAUCAAGCUCACUGUGAACGUUCAAUGACAUUUUAACAUGUAUUUACAAAGAAAACAUCUCAUGUUUCACUUCUGUUAAAUGUGAUGAAAUAAAUAUUUUGUGUGAAAUAUGAACAGCUAUGCUAAUCUUUCUCCUUUUGUUUUCCUGUUUCUCCAGCCUCGCGUGUGGAGACUUCAGAAGAUGCCAGACCUCACAAAGAUUUCAGAUGAUGGAAACUAUAGAUGAACAUGCAAAGCUGCUAAAUAAUCCUUAUAUUGUAAUCAUUGCCCUAAAAGGGAGGAACUUGUCAGCAAAUCUACUUCACAGCACAUCAGUGAAAGCAGUUAACAGUUACAGACGUGUGUGUUGGAUCAGGGUCAGAUCUGAAUUCUGCAGGUUUCCUGUGAUGACCGUUGAAGAGAUCAGCACAUCAGAUGUUGGCCUGGACAGCUGUACCUACAGUACACCACACUGACUUCUUUGCAUGGAUAGCUGACUACUACUACUACUAUUAUGUUCUGUGAAGGUAUUAUUAUAGGAAACCUGAACACCUGUGACAGUGGAAAUGUUGUAAUGAAUAGUCACACAUUCAUAUUUGUAAAUUGAAAAUUUUUUAGUACUAACAAUGUUUCUUUUUAACUAAUUCUCUCCAGCAAACACAACAAAACAGUUACACCAUUUCAUAUUCUGCGGUGCACAAACCCUAUUCUACAAAUAAGAGAACAACAGUAUAGACCCUUUGCACGUGACGUCACCCUCUACUCGCACGAAUUGUGAAUGCCACGACGGACGGCAGAAGAGCUUUGCUGUAGGACGGACCGCAAGCCAAACGAGUACGAGUUCGUGUUCGUUCGUGUAAUAAAAUGUUUUGUUUUUUUUUUCUCGCUGCAGUGUUUUAAUGUGAAAGGCUGUGAAUUCUCUGUGGACUUCAAGUGUUCAGAGAAAUACAUCGCGACCCAGAUCGCAAACUGACAUAGAAUCAACGUAGAAUCGACGUUUCUCGCGGAGUCGAAACGACGUUGAUCUCCGACGUCGAUCCAACAUAGUUUUGCUCAUCGGGUUAACGUUGAUCCGACGUCAGGCGCGCCAUUCAAAACUAACGGAAAAUCGACGCAAUUGGUUGUCUUACCUAACGUUGAAUCAACGUCGAUUUCCAGUCAGUUGAAACGACGUCAGAGAAUCGAUACGUUUUCAACAUAAAAUCGAUCUAAUUGGUUUGCUUACCUAACAUUGAAACGACGUUGAUUUCAUUGGGGUAAAACUACUUUACUAUUCACAUUUUCUGCUUGUUUUAAAAAUCUCACAUACUUACUACUAAAUAAAUUAGACUGUAUAAUUAAAACUUUAUUAAACACAUCACAUUCAGUCACAAUUUCUUUAUUAUUUAUACAAUACAGUUUAUACACAGUUACAAAUACAUGUGUAGAGCACAAACCUUCACAAGUCAAGAAAAUGCUUUUACACACAAAUAGGUAUAAAGUAUAUUAUAGGCUAAUAUAAAUUGUGUCAAGUAACAAAUUAAAAGCUAUAUUCACUGAAUAAAAAAAAAAAAAUAUGACCAACUGUGUUUGACUUAUUUUCAGUGAGUCACAAAAGAAGAUGCAAGGCAGAACCUUACGAACUGACAGCCUCAGUCACAGUUCACUAUCAUUACUUUUCAAAAAAAAUAUAUAUACACAUAUAAAAAAAUAAUGGUGA